CUCUCUCUCUCUCUCUCUGUGUGUGUGUGUGUGUGUGUAUGCUAUAUAUAUGUGCUAUUUAUAUAUGCUAUUUGUUGCUAUUUUAACAGCAACAAAUUGACCAGACUGGAAUGGAAUGUGUGAUCUUUAUGAUACCCAUCUGGGACUAUGAUUGCAUUAAUCAUUCAGUGCUCUCAUUUCUCUUGACCAGAUCUUUAGUACUCCACAGUAUCAUCCCAGGAGUCAGCCUUUUGUAGAUCACGUUUUCACCUUCUCCAUCACGGACGAGAGGAUCUGGUUUCGAAAUUAUCAGAUCAUAGAGGACGAUGGAGCUCUUGUUGAAAUUGGGCCUCGUUUUGUCCUGAACCUUAUCAAGAUCUUCCAGGGCAGCUUUGGAGGACAAACCCUGUAUGAAAACCCUCAUUACCAAUCUCCAAAUAUGCAUCGUCGGGAAUUAAGACUGGCCCUAGUUGCUAAAUUUAGAGAAAAACAAAACAUGAAACAGUUACAGAAAUUGAAGAGUAAGGAAGACCCAGCACUCAUUCCUAAAGAUCCCACCGAGGAAGUUUUUGAAACGCCAGCUGAAGAAAAGCCAAUGGAGAUCGAACUAGUGAGGCCAGAACCAAAAAAGAGUUUGAAAAAGAAAAAAAAGAAAGUACACCAACGACAGAGGAAGUGGAAGAAAAAGCUUGGCAGAAGUGGAGUACAGAAUUAGAACUUUGAAAUAAAGAUGGAGAUUAACUUAACUUUAUAUGCCCUUGCAACUUUGGUCAUUAAAUGAGCGGUUGGAAGUCGGGGGGGUACCUGCGGUGACGGAUCCGCGUGGCAAUUCCGAUCCGGCCCACCCUCGUUCUGAUCAAGAGGCAGAGGCGGCUUCGAAUGAACCGGCUCCAAACGCCGCCCCUUCCCGGCCAAAGCGGCCCCGGAACGUUCCCGUUCCGACGCUCCACGCCAUCGAAACCUCCUCCUCCUCCGAUCCAUCCUUUUCCCACGGAAGGCCUUCCCGCGCCUGCCGUCAGUUCCGCCUCCCAGUCCGGCAGCGAGGAGGAGGCUCGGCCGGGAUCCGGCCUACUUCUUCCGGUCCUUCCCCCUUUCCUCCGCCGGCUGUCGUCCCUGCGAUCCUCGCAUGCCGUUGCCGGCCGGCGGAUAAAAAUCUAGAUAAUGCAGAGGAAGCAGCAGAACAGUUCAAAUUGAUCCAGGCUGCAUAUGAUGUGCUGAGCGAUGCACAGGAGAGAGCAUGGUAAGUUUUGCCUUCCAUUCAAAUCUUUUUCACUUGGGAUGAAAGCUUGACAAUGGUUAGAGGUU
rnacentral:lncRNA from 1 species